AGACCUGGAGAAAUCAGAGACGGCUAAAAGAAAAUACUAUACACUGAAAAGGUCUGAAAAAUCAGGAGAAAAUACAAAAAAACACCACAAUACACUGUUACAUUAAAGCUUUGUGUGUAUUUCUUUGGGUUUUUAAAAGUUGGAAGUAAUCGUGGAUUCAUUCUAGGUUUGAAAUGGAUUAAAGAAGCUGAAUUUGUUGUUGUCAUUGUGCUGGAGUGUAUAUGUUUCUACUGUUAAACUUCUCAUUCUUUCUUCUGCUCUAAUUGCACCAGGUACUCUUCUGAAACUAUGGUUGGAAAUGAAGCCUGAUUGAGUUUCGUGUAAAGAUCUGUAAAUCGAGCUGAAGUUGAAUGAAAAGCAUUAGUCCCUGUUGUUGGUUGCUGCUUGAUUUUGCCAUAUUCUUAUUCAUGUUUUAGUCUAGCUUAUUGUGAAUACUCCAUUUCCUGAUAUACAUUUGGUUUUGAGUGCUGGAUUUAGACCUUGUGUGAAUACAGCUGAUUCAAGAGUGUUUUGGACUUGGUAGAAUAUGUAUUAAUUAAGGACUAUGAUUCCUAGUUUAAUUAGUUAAGGCUGGCUGGUUUGGAUGUAUGUUUCAUAGCUUUGGUAAAUUCUAAGUUCAGACCCUUUAUGUUAUUGGUCUAGCAAGCUUGAUUUAGGCUUAUUUCCCACUGAUUAUUUUAGAUUUGCUCCUAUAUCGCUUGAAAUACAGUACAGGGGUUUUAGAGUUGUCAUUUUGCUCAUGUAAACCUUGAAUCUUAAAAAGACUUUCGAAUGGGAU
rnacentral:lncRNA from 1 species